rnacentral:rRNA from 1 species
GACGAACGCUGGCGGCGUGCCUAAUACAUGCAAGUAGAACGGUAAGGAGCGGCUCUUGCGGGGUGCUGGAGAGGCGAGCGGGGGAGAAUCACGCGAGUGUCAUCUCCCUUACAGCGGGAGAACAUUAGGAAACAGGAUCGAAUAUCGCAUAGGAGAUCGUGUGGCAUGGUGGGGGUAGGAAAGAUUCGGCGGUUGGGGAUGAACACGCGGUUCAUCAGCUUGUUGGUGGGGAGGUGGCUUACUAAGGCACCGACGGGUAGCCGGACUGAGAGGGUGACCGGCCACAUUGGGACUGGGGUAGGGCCCAGACUCCUACGGGAGGCAUCAGUGGAGAAUAUUGCACGAUGGGCGGAAGCCUGAUGCAGCAACGCCGCGUGCUGGAUGACGGCCUUCGGGUUGUAAACCGCUUGCGCCUGUAACGAAGCGUGUGUGACGGUAAUGGGUAAAGAAGCACCGGCUAACUACGUG